rnacentral:rRNA from 1 species
AGCAAACCCGCUUGAAUUUAAGCAUAUAAGUAAGCGGAGGAUAAGAAACUAAAUAGGAUUCCCUCAGUAAUGGCGAAUGAACAGGGAUAAGCUCAGCAUGGAAAUUGGGGCCCUCGGCCUUGAAUUGUAGUCUUGAGAUGUGUUACCAACGGAGGCGCAGAUGUAAGCCUCUUGGAAAAGAGCGUCAGGGAGGGUGAGAGUCCCGUAUGUCAUCUGCAGUUCUCUGUGCACGGUGCAUGUUCUAAGAGUCACGUUCCUCGGGAUUGGAGCGCAAAUUGGGUGGUAAAUUUCAUCUAAAGCUAAAUAUUGGUUCGAGACCGAUAGCAAACAAGUACCAUGAGGGAAAGGUGAAAAGGACUUUGAAAAGAGAGUUAAAAGUGCCUGAAAUUGCUGAAAGGGAAGCGAAUGGAACCAGUUGUUCUUGGUGAGUAUUGGUGUUGUCUAAAGUGAUGGCUUGCCACUUCAACGCAAGUGUGGUGGCAGGUUUUGAUCUGGAUGCGAUACUGCUUCUCGCCUUGCAUGUCAACGUCAGUUCAUAAUUGAGGAAAACUCUAAGGACAUGGUAAUUCGCUUCCGAGUGACUGAAUGUCCUCAGUUGAACUCAUUUUUGAACUGCUCUCUGUGUGUCUGGUAGCACUGCUUCAUGUGCUUGCCUGCGAUCUUCUGCUCUGCAUGAAGGUUGUUGGUGCCAGGAGCAUGUCCUUGACAUUAGAACGAUGACGAAAUGGUUUUNUUCGACCCGUCUUGAAACAC